CCUACGGGAGGCAGCAGUGAGGAAUAUUGGUCAAUGGACGAGAGUCUGAACCAGCCAAGUAGCGUGAAGGAUGACUGCCCUAUGGGUUGUAAACUUCUUUUAUAUGGGAAUAAAACGUUCCACGUGUGGGAUUUUGUAUGUAACAUAUGAAUAAGGAUCGGCUAACUCCGUGCCAGCAGCCGCGGUAAUACGGAGGAUCCGAGCGUUAUCCGGAUUUAUUGGGUUUAAAGGGAGCGUAGGGGGAUUGUUAAGUCAGUGGUGAAAGUUUGCGGCUCAACCGUAAAAUUGCAGUGGAAACUGGCAGUCUUGAGUACAGUAGAGGUGGGCGGAAGUCGUGGUGUAGCGGUGAAAUGCGUAGAUAUCACGAAGAACUCCGAUUGCGAAGGCAGUUCACUGGACUGCAACUGACACUGAGGCUCGAAAGUGUGGGUAUCAAACAGGAUUAGAUACCCGAGUAGUC
rnacentral:rRNA from 1 species